CCCAUCCCGAACACGACCGUUAAGCCCUCCAGCGCCGAUGGUACUUGGACCGAAGGGUCCUGGGAGAGUAGGACGUUGCCAAGC
rnacentral:rRNA from 2 species